rnacentral:lncRNA from 1 species
UGUGCGACUUCUUGAUAUCAGGAGCUUCCCCGAAGACGUCGUCCUCCAGAAUGGGGGACGGAGGACCUCCGCGCCCUCCUGACAAGGCGAGUCCCGCGGCGGUAGCCCUUGUUAAGAACGUCC